rnacentral:rRNA from 1 species
UACGUAGGGUGCAAGCGUUGUCCGGAAUUAUUGGGCGUAAAGAGCUUGUAGGCGGUUUGUCGCGUCUGCUGUGAAAUUUCGGGGGCUCAACCCCGAACUUGCAGUGGGUACGGGCAGACUAGAGUGUGGUAGGGGAGACUGGAAUUCCUGGUGUAGCGGUGAAAUGCGCAGAUAUCAGGAGGAACACCGAUGGCGAAGGCAGGUCUCUGGGCCACUACUGACGCUGAGGAGCGAAAGCGUGGGGAGCGAACAGG